GAUGAAGAACGCAGCGAAAUGCGAUAAGUAAUGCGAAUUGCAGAAUUCCGUGAGUCAUCGAAUCUUUGAACGCACAUUGCGCCCUUUGGUAUUCCGAAGGGCAUGCCUGUUCGAGCGUCAUUUCAACCAUCAAGCCCCCGGCUUGUGUUGGGGACCUGCGGCUGCCGCAGGCCCUGAAAAGCAGUGGCGGGCUCGCUGUCACACCGAGCGUAGUAGCAUACAUCUCGCUCUGGGCGUGCUGCGGGUUCCGGCCGUUAAACCACCUUCAUAACCCAAGGUUGACCUCGGAUCAGGUAGGAAGACCCGCUGAACUUAAGCAUAUCAAUAAGCGGAGGA
rnacentral:misc_RNA from 1 species